rnacentral:rRNA from 1 species
CUUGACGACCAUAGAGCAUUGGAACCACCUGAUCCCAUCCCGAACUCAGCAGUGAAACGAUGCAUCNCAUCCCGAACUCAGCAGUGAAACGAUGCAUCGCCGAUGGUAGUGUGGGGUUUCCCCAUGUGAGAGUAGGUCAUCGUCAAGA